rnacentral:rRNA from 1 species
AGGACGAACGCUGGCGGCGUGCUUAACACAUGCAAGUCGAGCGGUGAUCCUCCUUCGGGAGUGAUCAGCGGCGAACGGGUGAGUAACACGUGGGCAACCUGCCCCUCACACUGGGAUAACCUCGGGAAACCGGGGCUAAUACCGGAUACGACCUCGAGCGGCAUCUCUUGAGGUGGAAAGCUCCGACGGUGAGGGAUGGGCUCGCGGCCUAUCAGCUUGUUGGUGGGGUAAUGGCCUACCAAGGCGACGACGGGUA